rnacentral:rRNA from 1 species
UAGGGAAUAUUGGACAAUGGGCGGGAGCCUGAUCCAGCCAUGCCGCGUGCAGGAAGAAGGCCUUCUGGGUCGUAAACUGCUUUUGCCGGGGAUAAAAAGCCCCUGCGGGGGAAAUUGAAGGUACCCGGUGAAUAAGCCACGGCUAACUACGUGCCAGCAGCCGCGGUAAUACGUAGGUGGCAAGCGUUGUCCGGAUUUAUUGGGUUUAAAGGGUGCGUAGGCGGCCCCAGUAAGUCAGUGGUGAAAUACGGCAGCUCAACUGUCGAGGUGCCAUUGAUACUGCGGGGCUUGAGUAUGGACGAGGUGGGCGGAAUUGACGGUGUAGCGGUGAAAUGCUUAGAUAUCGUCAAGAACACCGAUAGCGGAGGCAGCCACUUAGGCCAUAACUGACGCUGAGGCACGAAAGUGCGGGGAUCAAACA